rnacentral:misc_RNA from 1 species
GAUGAAGAACGUAGCGAAAUGCGAUACGUAAUGCGAAUUGCAGAAUUCAGUGAAUCAUCAAAUCUUUGAACGCAGAUGGCACUGUCGGGAUAGGCCUGGCAGUACGUUUCUUUCAGCGCCGUUUCAACAACACUCAGGCUGCGCCUUUACUGGCAUAGUCCUGGACUUUGAGGAUCACGCUCUGUCAUGGAGUGUGUUCCUUUAAAUUGAGCGGAACGGCAUGUGCUCAAGCACACUGCACUAAUUACUUGGCAGCGACGUGGGUAAUUUCACUUAGGUGAAUCUUUACGUGGCUGUUUUCAAAGAAAGGUGUAUGCGAGGCUAAGCGCAAGGGUCAAUCCGAUUAUCGGAGGCAUUUGCCUUCAACAAUCACUUCGACUAAGGCCUGAAAUGAAGCGAGAAUACCCGCCGAACUUAAGCAUAUCAAUAAGCGGAGGA